GAGGCGCCGGCUCGAGGACGCGUCCCGAGCCCCAAGGGCCCACCCUGGCCAGCGGCGUCUGAAUCUAACGGUCCUUAGGAAGCUGAGGCCGCUGCCCUGCUCGCUCGGCCAUGCGGCGCCCGCUGUUCCUGCUGCUGCUGCUGCUCCCAGGCGCCCUCGUCCCGGCCACCUCGGCGGCUCCCGUCCAGGAAUCCGAAAUGCAAGACAGCCUUCGGCGCCCGCCUCGAGGUGCCCCAGCUGGAGGAGACAGGGGGCUGUUGGCAGCCUCAGAUCCAUCCCCUCAUUCUGGCUGUCCUCCGGGGUUAUGAGGGGCUGCCUGGAAGACACUGGAGGAUGGCCUGCAGCUCCCUGAGACGCUCGGAUGACCACAGGCCAUCUGUGGCAGGCUCCUCAAGGGGCCUGCGAGGAGGGGCCCCUCUGACCCAAUAGUCCGCCCCCAAGACUCACUUCUUAUCCCUUUCCAGACUCAGGAGCUGCAGGAGCUGGGGGAGAGCAUCAGAGCAUUGGCAGGGGAGAAACGUGUAUGCUUACCAGACCCCACCCCAGCUCCAACUGGAAAUAAAGUUCUUUCUUACACCUACUGUGCUGUUUCCU